rnacentral:lncRNA from 1 species
AUGCCAGGAAACAAUCUGCCAGUCAAUGGUCUCUGGCUGGGGCCAGGCAGACAGACAAGGCUGCCUGCCGCAGCCUGGGCUGCUUUGGCCAAGCAGGCCUGGACUCACAGGGAUAUAGAGUCCCACUUCUUUAUGGGAAAUAUCACUGGAAUCCUUCAGGGACAUUGGAGUGGACUGAAGGUCAGUGUCUCUGCCUACCUGGACAUGAGACUGGCUCAUGCAGUUGUCAGGAGAUUUUUUCUGCAGCAUCACUAUCUUUUUCUUCAAUGUCCCUUUGGCCAUUUCGCUCUUCCUCAGUGCAGAAGUCAGAAGCUGUCCAAUCUCUGUCCCUUUGAUUUCUUCUCUUCCACUCGUCUUCAAGGCAGCAGCAGUCCCAUGGUCCAACUCUUCUUGCAUAUCUUCCCCCUCCACUUCCAAUUCCUGGAUUAUCUUCUUCCGACUCUUCGUGUCAGGUGCACCCGUUUCCAUCUUCUUUUCCAGACCCCUCAGCUUCUGUUGGCACAAUUCCCGUUCAUGCUGCCAAAACAGGGAGAAGAAGACUCACCCAUUGCCUCUCUUGGUUUGCUUCUCAUACCAGAUCUGGACUCCUGCUGCAGGGGCAGGCACGUGCUGCCCCCCUCUCUCUCUGCCUCUCGGGCUGCUGCAGACCUUGGCUGGGCCCCCCGUGACGCUGCCUCUUUCCCAGCUCGCUCAGCCCAUCCCAGCUUCCUUUCUGCCCGUCCCCGACCUCUGGCAGCUCCACUCCCGUGUUCCUUUGGGCACGAGCUGCCAGAACUGCAGCCAGGAUUUCAAGUCAAUGCAAAGCAGGAUUUAGGCAGUGCCAUGAGGAUGCGCUCUGCAUCAGGAAGGAAGGAGACAGCAAACACCUUCAGCAUUUCAUUCCAAGGCCUUGGGGCAACAGGAGUGGUUUUCCAACACUCCUGUGUAGACUUUCUAUGGCAGCAUCCCCGAGAGCCCCACUGCCCUCUCUUGCAGCACCAAUGGCCAGAUCAGUCUGUCAUUCCCUGCUGCCACUCAGGACGAGUUCUCCCCUUGCAGGCACACAUCCUGAUCUGCAUCAGUACUUGGCUUUCCUCUCUUCUCUCCCCACUGCCUGCUCUCACACGGCCAAGGCCAAACACCCUUCAAACAGCAACCUAG